CCUAAAUGGGGAUAAUUAGCGUCACUUUAUCACGCCUCUGCAUAUUUUCUCUGCGUCUCCCCCCUUCCCUAAAAAAAAUUACCAAGCAGCCUGCUCUCGUCGCCCGCUCUGUCACAGAAGAUUAUGGAGACAGAUUGCACAGAGCGAAUGUGCCGGGCGAGAUUAGCGCGGAAUAGAGAAAGCAACUGGGCCAAUGAAUUCCUCGGAAGGGCCUUAUCGUGCAAUUACACGUUGACAUGUUUAACAAUCUUGCUGCCUCUUAAUCCUGCAGUGCUGCUCUAUCUACCCACAGCUACCACGCUAUAUGCCGGCACACAGACCUAAUGCACCGAAACGCGGCACAAAUAUUUCACCGUUGCUGGAAUAGCAUCUGCACUGGAACUUUUUUUUUAAGAGGACAAUGGCCAUCAAGUCUAUGACCAGCUGAACUGGAUCACUGUGGGGAGACUGUGAUUUACAGAUAGCUUCUCAUCCCUUUUACUGGCAGGCCAUCUUUACCAUGAGCACUGGGAGAUAGGUGGUGCGGGCGAAAAGACCUCUCAGAAAAUGUCAGCAACUGUCAGAACCCCAAAUUUCUUCCAUUAACUCGUUCUUUCCUCUGUGAUGCUACCUUCUUGAAACCCCUUAAUUACAUAACCCCUUUCUCCUGUCACCCAAUGUUUUGUAUCCAAGUAAAGUGUAUGACUUCAGAUCGUGUGGCUUUUUUUUAGCUUAAAAUUGUGGAUAACAAAACAAUCCUAGCCCCAUAUUUUUGCCCAUCUGAGCAAAAACAAACACACACAUGCACACUCACACACACAAAAGGAAACUGCAUUGACUGCAGCAGCUCUCCUUCCCUCGUGGUUUUCACUGGAGCCAGUUUCACUGUCUUAAUACCCUUAGUCCCUCAGCUGGCAUGUUGUCCAAGAACCCGCUGCAUUUUCAGAUUUGUAAAAUCCGUCAAAAUGCCUGUAAUGAAUCUUUCUACAGCCUCAAGUGUAUUUAACGUGCUGUUUGACCAGCCCAAAAGAAACCUUGUAAAGAUCUGCCACUAUAGGAACAGAGGAUCAGAUGAAACAGGUCAUUUUCAUUUGAACACAAUCCCCUAUAAUAAACAUGUAUUGUUUGGAUAUGCUGUUAAUUUCUUAUUAACAUCUUUCUUGUGCAUGAGUGUAUACGCCAUGUAAUAUACAUAUUUUUUGCUUUAGAAAAGUAACUACUGUUAUUAUUAUUAUCAGGUUUUUCCGUGUGUUUUGUUUUGUCUUUUGAUGGAUUAAAAGUCAUCUUAUGAGAUAGACGUGUGCUAUGCACUUGCAUUUUGCAGUUUGUUUUUUCUGUUAGCUUACACAGCCACCCA
ensembl:lncRNA